rnacentral:rRNA from 1 species
CCUACGCGAGGCAGCAGUGGGGAAUAUUGCGCAAUGGGCGAAAGCCUGACGCAGCGACGCCGCGUGAGGGAUGCAGGUCUUCGGAUCGUAAACCUCUGUCUUCAGGGACGAUAAUGACGGUACCUGAGGAGGAAGCCACGGCUAACUACGUGCCAGCAGCCGCGGUAAUACGUAGGUGGCGAGCGUUGUCCGGAUUUACUGGGCGUAAAGGGAGCGUAGGCGGACUUUUAAGUGAGAUGUGAAAUACUCGGGCUCAACUUGAGUGCUGCAUUUCAAACUGGAAGUCUAGAGUGCAGGAGAGGAGAAUGGAAUUCCUAGGGUAGCGGUGAAAUGCGUAGAGAUUAGGAAGAACACCAGUGGCGAAGGCGAUUCUCUGGACUGUAACUGACGCUGAGGCUCGAAAGCGUGGGGAGCAAACAGGAUUAGAUACCCUGGUAGUC